GAUGAACGCUGGCGGCGUGCCUAAUACAUGCAAGUCGAGCGAACGGACGAGAAGCUUGCUUCUCUGAUGUUAGCGGCGGACGGGUGAGUAACACGUGGAUAACCUACCUAUAAGACUGGGAUAACUUCGGGAAACCGGAGCUAAUACCGGAUAAUAUUUUGAACCGCAUGGUUCAAAAGUAAAAGACGGUCUUGCUGUCACUUAUAGAUGGAUCCGCGCUGCAUUAGCUAGUUGGUAAGGUAACGGCUUACCAAGGCAACGAUGCAUAGCCGACCUGAGAGGGUGACCGGCCACACUGGAACUGAGACACGGUCCAGACUCCUACGGGAGGCGGCAGUAGGGAAUCUUCCGCAAUGGGCGAAAGCCUGACGGAGCAACGCCGCGUGAGUGAUGAAGGUCUUCGGAUCGUAAAACUCUGUUAUUAGGGAAGAACAUAUGUGUAAGUAACUGUGCACAUCUUGACGGUACCUAAUCAGAAAGCCACGGCUAACUACGUG
rnacentral:rRNA from 1 species